UUACUUACUUGAACAAGAUGCCUGUGUGCUUUGUACCAGGUUGUUAUCAUUCCAGUAAUAAUACCUCUUGCUCAUUCUUUCGCUUCCCGUCUGAUAAAAGGGCCAGGAGUCGCUGGAUCAAACACAUCAGGUAAAAUACAUAUUGUGCAUGGAACAUAGUCAAGUUAGCUACCUAGCUAGUAGCAAGCACGUUAGUUAGCCUUGCCAUUUUUUAUUAGCCUUAACAUGAAGUAACAUAAGUAAACCAAAAUGUUAAACAGUAAGAGUAGUCAUGAUGGUAAGUAUUUUGUGAAACCUUUGAAGAGUACUGUCACACCGGUUUAAGCCCGUACACCCUCCACUGGGGUCCCAGGGGCCGAUGCUAAUGUAGGCUAACGCUACAUUAGCGAUCUUUUUUCUACUUCAUGCUAUCUGCACAAAUGGUUAACAUUGAACAUUCAAAAUAUCAGGCAGUUCAGGGAGAGUCGAAGGCAGGCAGCUUUGCAUGACAUUCUUCAUUGUGAUGAUAGUGAGGGUGAGUCAGUCUGUUUUUUGGCAAGACAGUAGUUGAGUGAUUACUGAGAGAAAAUUAUUCUAAGUGUUUCAAGUGUUGUUACUUUAAAGUGUUGUUACUGACCUUUUUCUCUUUUAUUUUCUUUGCCUCACCUGUAACUCUGCUGAGACCUUGAGGAACAUGCACACUGGACUGACCUGCUCUGGCAACCUGAUUUCCACUCUCCAUCCAUCACCAUUCUCUGUUCCUGCAGGUCCUGCUUCCUAAUCAAUGCUCAUAUUUUUUACACAAUUACAAAUAAACUCAAUUCAUUGUAUGACAUGAAGUUGUGCUUCA